rnacentral:rRNA from 1 species
UACAGAGGGUGCAAGCGUUAAUCGGAGUUACUGGGCGUAAAGGGCGCGUAGGCGGUUGAAUGUGUGAGAUGUGAAAUCCCUGGGCUUAACCUAGGAACUGCAUCUUAAACUGUUUAACUUGAGUACUGUAGAGGGUAGUGGAAUUUCCGGUGUAGCGGUGAAAUGCGUAGAUAUCUGGAGGAACACCGGUGGCGAAGGCGGCAUCCUGGACCGACACUGACGCUGAGGAGCGAAAGCCAGGGGAGCAAACGGG